rnacentral:rRNA from 1 species
CAUGCCAAUGGCAAUGCCCGGUAGCUAAAUGCGGAAGAGAUAAGUGCUGAAAGCAUCUAAGCACGAAACUUGCCCCGAGAUGAGUUCUCCCUGACUCCUUGAGAGUCCUGAAGGAACGUUGAAGACGACGACGUUGAUAGGCCGGGUGUGUAAGCGCAGCGAUGCGUUGAGCUAACCGGUACUAAUGAACCGUGAGGCUUAACCUUACAACGCCGAAG